UACGGGGGGGGCAAGCGUUGUUCGGAAUUACUGGGCGUAAAGGGCGCGUAGGCGGCCUGUUAAGUCAGACGUGAAAUCCCUCGGCUCAACCGGGGAACUGCGUCUGAUACUGGCGGGCUUGAAUUCGGGAGAGGGAUGUGGAAUUCCGCGUGUAGCAGUGAAAUGCGUAGAGAUGCGGAGGAACACCGAUGGCGAAGGCAGCCCCCUGGGCCAACACUGACGCUCAGGCACGAAAGCGUGGGGAGCAAACAGG
rnacentral:rRNA from 1 species